UACGGAGGGUGCAAACGUUGCUCGGAAUCAUUGGGCGUAAAGCGCACGUAGGCGGCCUGAUAAGUCGGGUGUGAAAGCCCUGGGCUCAACCCAGGAAGUGCACUCGAAACUGUCAGGCUUGAAUAUGGAAGAGGGUCGCGGAAUUCCCGGUGUAGAGGUGAAAUUCGUAGAUAUCGGGAGGAACACCAGUGGCGAAGGCGGCGACCUGGGCCAAUAUUGACGCUGAGGAGCGAAAGCGUGGGGAGCAAACAGG
rnacentral:rRNA from 1 species